UACGUAGGUGACAAGCGUUAUCCGGAUUUACUGGGUGUAAAGGGCGUGUAGGCGGGUCUGCAAGUCAGAUGUGAAAUACUGGGGCUUAACCCCGGAACUGCAUCUGAAACUGCGGAUCUUGAGUACCGGAGAGGAAAGUGGAAUUCCCAGUGUAGCGGUGAAAUGCGUAGAGAUUGGGAGGAACACCAGUGGCGAAGGCGGCUUUCUGGACGGUAACUGACGCUGAGGCGCGAAAGCGUGGGGAGCAAAC
rnacentral:rRNA from 1 species